UAGGACUUAGUUAAGAAAUAACAGUAGUCUGUCUAACUAAAAUCAUAAGUUUGGUCUUAUAGUUCUAA
rnacentral:tRNA from 1 species